AUGAUCAACAGACAAGUAAUUAAUCAAAGCAUCGGACACGUUCCCAAUGUCAAAAAGAGUGUAACCUAUCAUCUGACUCCUGAGAAAGCAUGGAAUGAGAGAAAGCAGCAGUGUGCACAUCCUGUGAAGUCCAGAAGCUGGAGCAGACGCCCAGAGGACAGAGCUCCGCCGUCUGGGUGGCCUUCUUCAUCUCUAGCAGAUGAACUGACUGCUCUGGAGUCCUGA
rnacentral:lncRNA from 1 species